GAAAACCAACCAGGUGCAACUGUGCUUUGUAAUAUUAUAGAAUAGAAUGCUGGUGGGGUACAGCAAGGAGUACACUGUGUUUGUGGGGCAGGGUACAUAAGAUUCUGAUUUACUUUUCCAUCAUGGUGAAUGGCAUGAUCUUAGACACCUUAGUUAGCUUUAUUCAAACUCAGUUUUCCAAUCUGUAAAAUGGCAACAUUCACUAUAUGUUGUCAAUCUCUUUGAUGGACAGGGCCCACAGUUAGGAGCCUCUCGAGACCCUGGUGUCUAAAGUGGUGAAGGAGAGCUUUCUGGAAUGAGUGAACAUGUGUCAGAUGCUCUAAGGUCCUCAUUAGAAGGGUGCCCUGUCCCCUGCACCAGCUGAGCAAGGCGGGUGGGCCACCAUCCUGCUACCAUUUUAUAGUCAGUGGAUCUUUUUUUUCUUUUUCUCUUUCUCUCCAGAAGGACAGAAUAAUGGGCUCCAGAUUCGCAAGCCCCACCGAGAGGAUCACCCCAGGAACCCUUGGAGACUGAGGAGUUCACUGAGGCUAGUGCAUCUCGAGACUCAGGAUGAAGACCCAACUUGGGGCUGUCAAAGGUGCAACCUGCCAGCUGAGACCUCCAAGGGUCGAGCCCGGGCCCCUUUGCCUUGUUCAUGGCUUUGGCCAGUGCUUAGCAUAUAGUAAACAACUUGUAAAUGUUUAUGAGAGGAUGUGUGGGGGGUCAUCCCUUCGGAAUGGCACACUGUCCAUUAUCAUUGUCCUCAGAGGCUCCAGCCUCAGGUGCUUCUUAAACUUCGAUGGGAAUGAUGGCAGCAGGUGGGUCCAGGGCUCAGCACGAGAGCUCACAGCAGGCUGUGCUCCACCCCACACAGGCCCCCAGUCUUGCCAUGUUUCCUCUGCCUCACCAGGCUGGCAUAGAAACUGCUUCCAACUGAAGCCAGCCAACCUGCCUGCCCCUAACCACACCUGCAACUCUAGGGUCACCGUUAGUCUAGAUUAGGGGCCCUUAAACUGUAGCCUUUGCCAGGCAUGGUGGCUCACGCCUGUAAUCUCAGAACUUUAGGAGGCCGAGGCGGGUGGAUCACUUGAGGUAGGAAGUUCGAGAGCAGCCUGGCCAACAUGGCGAAACCCUGUCUCUACUAAAAAUACAAAAAUUCGCCAGACAUGGUAGCGCACACCUGUAAUCCCACCUACUUGGAAGACUGAGGCAAGAGAAUCACUUGAACCUAGGAGGUGGAGGUUGCAGGGAGCUGAGAUCACACCACUGAACUCCAGCCUGGGCAACAGAGUGAGACUCCCUCUCAAAACAAACAAACAAACAAACAAACAAAGAAACACUACAGCCUUUGGGCUAAAUCUGGUCAGUGUUCUGUGCUUGUAAGAACUCUGAGUGAAGAACAAUUUUUACGUCUCUCUAAAGGGUUGAAGAAUACAAAAAGAAUAUUCAACAGAGACCAUCUGGCUAGCAAAGCCUAAAAUAUUGACCCUCUGGUCCUUUACAGAAAAGGUGUGCCGGUCGCUGGACUGGGCAGUGCCGACCGCAACCUGGGCUCCCUGUGAACAUUUCACCCACACACACUCAUCUCCUUUCUCUUAUCAACACUGAGGCAGGUGAGAUUAUCAUUCCUUGUAAACAUGGAGAAACUAAGGCACGGAGAGGUUUAACUCAUUUACCUGAGAAUCUAUUAAGUAACAGAGCCAGGAUUCCAACCCAGGCAGUCCAGCUUCAGAGUCCAUACCUCCUAGCUGCACUCUGGGCCAUCAGCGUAGGGAUGAGCUUCAGACAAGAACUCCCCUCUUAGCUUCCGCCCUCUCCUGCCCCACAGCCAGUGAACAGGCAUUUUGCACCCCAGCCUGCCCCAGCCAGCUCCUCCUCAGAGAUUUCCUGCAGGGACUUAGACGGGGCUCUGGGACCACCCUCCUUUUCUGCCCCACCCGGCACCUGGAACUCUUCUUGAUCCUGCUCCCUCUAAGGCUGGACACGUCUCCAUGAGCCAGGCCUGAAGUUGUUCCCCUCUCUGGACCUCAGGACCUCCCUUCCUAGGAGCAGUUCCUGUAUCCCCUAUCCUCUCUGCCUUCCCCGCUUCCCACCAUGUCCUUCCAAUAAGGGGCUGGAUUUGUAGUGUGCAGCCUUGGGAACAGGGUUGGGCUCAGGGAUUGGGAGCAGAGGCCCAGGGCUCUGACUGACCCUCUGUCAUCCCCAGGAGGAGAAGCUGCUGUAUUUAGAGUGUCACAAAGAAUAGUGUUGGAGGCUUCAGAAACCACGGGAGAUUCUGAACUUCUAGGCUGAGCAGAUGGGAUGGUGCCUCUGUGAUCAACAGGCCUGGCAGAGGGAUGCAGGAGGGGGUGAGAAUGGAAAGACAGCUGCCAAGGGGAACAGAGAGCUUUUCAAGUCACCGUUGUCCCCUCUCCACCUCACCAUCAGGGCUAAGACUAAACCUAACCAUCCGGUUGCAGCCCCUCGGCCCUGGGGAUGGAGAUUAGUGUGCAUAGAAUGAAGGUACAGAGGCCAUGUUCUGGCUGUGUGACCUUGCACAGGUUGCAUAACACUCUGUGCCUCACUUUACUCAUUUUUAAAAUGAUGAAGAUGAUAACUACCUGGCAGGGUCUUAUAUUAGAGAUAAUACAGUUCCAAGCACUUUGUAAGCACUCGGUGUGAAAUUGUCUUCUGCUGCUCCCCUUCAUCAGUCCACCCCUCCUCUGCAGAGGUUUCCUCCAUGCUGAGCAAGCUGGCAGUAACUAAGGCCCUGUGGGCGCAUCCCUAGUGCCUUCUGCCCAGGCCUCGGGACCCCCAGGGAUCCUGGCCCCUGUGGACAGGGACUUUUGUGCUCUCCUUCACUGUUACCAGCAAGAGUGAGUCCUGCACUGAAUUUCCAUGGGAUCAUUAUUUGCUAACAUUUGUGCGUGAGUUACUGUCUAGAAAGCAGCUUUUCUGGCCUUUUCCCAUUAAUUUCACGAAAGUUAUCUUCCUUUGCCCUUACUGCAGUCCUGUGAGAGGUUCAUUACCCCAUUUUACAAACAGCUAAUGCUUUGAGAUGAAGUGACUCCCCUGGGGUCACCUAGCUAAGCAGUGGAGAGUGGGUCUCCCACCCGGCCCUCUCACUGUGACUCCUGUUCUCUGCGUCAUUGCAUAUGACGACAUGUGGGUCACGUUUUCACACAUCCAUGCUAGCUGAUAUGGAAUGGUGAGCUUCUCCUGGGUCUUCCGAGGAAGGAUGCUUUCAGGGGUGUUUUGGAAUGAAGGCAGUGGAGACCAAGAGACCUCUAGGUCAAAGCCAGGCAGGAGGGUCCUCUCAGGGACCCAGCCAACAAGUUGCAUUUCUCCCUCAGAGGCUUGAAGAGGCAGAACACCCGAGAGGAGUCUGGGGCCACCACCCAGCGUCACUGGGAAAACGGCAGCAGGAAAUGUCCUCUCACCUGCGUGCUCCACCUCUGUCCACGCCUUUCCUCCUUCUGGAAGCCUUGCCUGACCACUGGCCUGCCCCUUCUAUGGGAAUCGCUGCUGACCUUGCAGCUCACUGUAGACUUAUAUGUAUGCAGAAAUAUAAUUUUAAUUACUUUUGUAUUGCUCCAAGAGUGAUACCGAAUCACAACAGAAAAUUUAAAUAAACAAACUAGCCAAAUUAAUACAAGCAAUCACCCCAGUCAAAUACACCCAGCUCACAUUUUGAUGUAAAAUCUUCCAGUACAUUUGCUAUGUACAUAUAUAUUUUUAGGAAGGAGAUUAUAUUUUACAUGCUGUUUUCUAAAACGUUCUUUUAAAACUGUGUCAUAAACAUUUUUCCUUAUAAUUAGAUCGUCCUCUACAACAAAAUUUGCUAAUGAAUUUUUUUUUUUAAUCAUGGUCACUGUUGUGUUAUGUACAUCUUAGUUUAGCAUCCUCAGUUACAUUGUAAGCAUUUUAAGGACUCAGUUUCCCCAGCCAGCCUCAGGAUGGGUUUGUUCAUUGAUUGAUGGCUGUGUGGGGUGGAGGAGGGAAGUAGAAAGUGAGUGAGAUUUGGGUAAGCAAACCUGGGUUUAAAUGCUGAGUUUGCAAAUUCCAUAAAUUCUGCUUCCUUCCCUUCCUCCCUCCCUCCCUCCCUCCCUUCCUUCCUUCCUUCCUUCUUCCAUCCUUCCUUCCUCGCUCCCUCCAUUCUCCCUCCCUUCCUUCCCUCCUUGCUGAAACAAAUGCCUUGUUAGAUAUUUUAUAUACUCAUGUAAAUAUGCACUCAUUUAAAUAUCAUGUGGGCACCUCCUCUGAGUGGCCCUGAGCUUGGUUCUGGGGAUGUGGCACCGCACAAGAGAAACCAGGUCUCUGCUCUCACGGAGCUUGAUGCAUCCAGUUGGGGGCACAGACCCAAAUCAAGCCAACAGACAAAACCUAAGCAGGCCACUAACUUGUGUUUGAGUACAACAUCCGCAUGGACGGGAAUGAGAAUUACAGGGGACCACACUUGAACUGGGGUCCGGCAAAGCCCUCUCUGGGGAGGUGACAGUCAAGCCCAGACCUAAAGAAGCCUGCUGCAGGGAGGAUGGAAAAGACGUUCUGACAAAGCCCUUGAGAUCGGGAAGGCUUUGGCUUAGAUGAGGAACUUCAGCUGGUCAUCCCCUCUCUCAUCCAUCCUAUUGAAACCACCUUUGCAAAAAGUGUAUCAGUGAGAAAAUUAUAACAGCAAGCUAAGCUAACCCAACCUCCAUCUUCCCUUUCCCUUAAUUAUUCCUGGGCUAUUGGGUCAAGCUAACUUUAGAAGAUAUUUAGGCUACAGUUUAAAUGAUAAUAGGCCUUGCCCAAAACUCAACCACUUUUGUAAAGCUAAUAGGGGACCAUCAGGGUGUGGGGAGAAGAGCCUAAAUCCUACUAAGGUGCAGACAUUAUUCCGGAGGUUAUAAGAUAUGCAACUUUCCCAAUACAACACUACUAUUAUAGAUAGGCCUUUUGAGAUCUCUUUCCAGGUUUUUUGCAUAUUUGACGCCCAUGGCUCCACCUGGACCUGAUGGCUCCACCCAGAAGCAAUUCAGCCCCACAGGAGGACAGCUUCAACCCAUUACCAUUUCCUCUCUGCCCCAACCAAUCAGCAGCAAGCACCUGUUACCUGUCCACCCCGACCCCUUCCCCCAAACUGCCUUUGAAAAAUCCCUAACCUAUGAGCUUUGAACAAGAUGAUAUGAGUACGAACUCCACCUCCCAUGUGGCGUGGCUGGCCUCGUGUCUAUUAAAUUCUUUCUCUACUA